GGUUUCGUGGUGUAACGGUAGCACGGCAGAUUCUGAUGUCCAAUUUGAUUGGCUGAUCUUCUGCAAACCGGGGUUCGAUUCCCCGCGAGACCU